UACAAUGUAGCGUUAAUGCACCAAAUCCCUUUAGAACUCCGUAGUUAAGUGCGCUCAGGAUAGAGUAGUAAUGUGAUGGAUGACUACUUAGGAAGUCCUAGUGUUUUAC
rnacentral:rRNA from 1 species